rnacentral:tRNA from 1 species
GUUGAUCUAGUUUAUAAGAAUAUUAAGUUGUGGUCUUAACGGUGGGUGUCGUAACCCGGUUAGCU